rfam:Trichinella murrelli scaffold230s, whole genome shotgun sequence.
CCAACGGUCCUUAUCAGGACCACUAUCUAUUGAUAUUUUUUUCUCU